AGUGUUGAAGCACGUUGAAGUGUCAAUUCUGUCGGCAGUUGGUCGGGCAGACUUUAUAAAUAUCAUUAUAAAUAGUUUUUCCUCAAGUUGGUGGUGAUCUCAAAUGCAUAAUCAUCCAUUUCCUCCCAUACGCUACACGGGGAAGCGCCGUGAUCGAGCGCCGGUUGUACGCUUCUCCGCCUUUUCUACUGGAUUCAGCUAAUCGGGGUCAACCUUGGGCCAAGUGAUAUGCUUCCGAAGGUGAAAUUGUUGAGUGGACAUCCGUACGGAAGAGGUCGUAUAAACGCAGCUUAUGUAUCCAGUGUCCUGCACUCGGUAAUGGCGGUGAGUGUGGCAAAAUAUGUUUUGAUAUGAUUAUGAUAGCUAUAUUAGGCAAUAAAUUAAAUAUAUAACAGAUACUUUUUCG